rnacentral:rRNA from 1 species
CCCUUAGAUGUCCGGGGCUGCACGCGCGCUACACUGAAGGAAUCAGCGUGCUAAAACCAUUGUCGAAAGGCAUUGGUAAACCCACUAAAAUCCUACGUGAUUGGGAUCGGGAAUUGCAAUUAUUUCCCUUGAACGAGGAAUUCCCAGUAAGUGUGGGUCAUAAGCUCGCGUUGAUUACGUCCCUGCCCUUUGUACACACCGCCCGUCGCUGCCCGGGACUGAGCCGUUUCGAGAAAAGCGGGGACUGCUGCUGUCGGGGCUUUCGGGCCUUGGCUUCGGUGGAAACCGCUUUAAUCGCAGUGGCUUGAACCGGGCAAAAGUCGUAACA